rnacentral:rRNA from 1 species
GAGUUUGAUCGUGGCUCAGAUUGAACGCUGGCGGCAUGCCUUACACAUGCAAGUCGAACGGCAGCACGGGAGCUUGCUCCUGGUGGCGAGUGGCGAACGGGUGAGUAAUGCAUCGGAACGUAUCCUGGAGUGGGGGGAUAACGUAGCGAAAGUUACGCUAAUACCGCAUAUUCUGUGAGCAGGAAAGCGGGGGACCUUCGGGCCUCGCGCUCUUGGAGCGGCCGAUGUCGGAUUAGCUAGUUGGUGAGGUAAAGGCUCACCAAGGCGUACGAUCCGUAGCAGGUCUGAGAGGAUGAUCUGCCACACUGGAACUGAGACACGGUCCAGACUCCUACGGGAGGCAGCAGUGGGGAAUUUUGGACAAUGGGGGCAACCCGUGAUCCAGCCAUGCCGCGUGAGUGAAGAAGGCCU